UACAGGGGGUGCAAACGUUGCUCGGAAUCAUUGGGCGUAAAGCGCACGUAGGCGGUUCGUUAUGUCGGAUGUGAAAGCCCUUGGCUUAACCGAGGAAGUGCAUCCGAAACUGGCGAGCUAGAGUACGAAAGAGGAUCGCGGAAUUCCCGGCGUGGAGGUGAAAUUCGUAGAUAUCGGGAGGAACACCGGUGGCGAAGGCGGCGAUCUGGGUCGAUACUGACGCUGAGGUGCGAAAGCGUGGGGAGCAAACAGG
rnacentral:rRNA from 1 species